rnacentral:rRNA from 1 species
GACGAACGCUGGCGGCGUGCUUAACACAUGCAAGUCGAACGAAAAGAGGGGAAGAGCUUGCUCUUUCCGGAAUUGAGUGGCAAACGGGUGAGUAACACGUAAACAACCUGCCUUCAGGAUGGGGACAACAGACGGAAACGACUGCUAAUACCGAAUAAGUUCCAAGGGCCGCAUAGCCCAUGGAAGAAAAGGUGGCCUCUACCUGUAAGCUAUCGCCUGAAGAGGGGUUUGCGUCUGAUUAGCUGGUUGGAGGGGUAACGGCCCACCAAGGCGACGAUCAGUAGCCGGUCUGAGAGGAUGAACGGCCACACUGGAAUUGAGACACGGUCCAGACUCCUACGGGAGGCAGCAGUGGGGAAUCUUCCGCAAUGGGCGAAAGCCUGACGGAGCAACGCCGCGUGAGGGAUGACGGCCUUCGGGUUGUAAAACUCUGUGAUCCGGGACGAAAAGGCAGAGUGCGAAGAACAAACUGCAUUGACGGUACCGGAAAAGCAAGCCACGGCUAACUACGUG